rnacentral:rRNA from 1 species
UACAGAGGGUGCAAGCGUUAAUCGGAAUUACUGGGCGUAAAGCGUGCGUAGGUGGUUCGCUAAGUCAGGUGUGAAAUCCUUGGGCUUAACCUGAGAAUUGCAUUUGAUACUGGUGAACUAGAGUGUGGUAGAGGGUAGUGGAAUUCCCGGUGUAGCGGUGAAAUGCGUAGAUAUCGGGAGGAACAUCAGUGGCGAAGGCGGCUACCUGGACUAACACUGACACUGAGGCACAAAAGCGUGGGGAGCAAACAGG